UGCGCAAGACUUAGUUACGUAGAGCUUGGCGCCUUUUAUGCUUUGCAGCAACGUUUUUUUUUACAGCUAGCUACGGAAUCAGUUUCAUUAGCAGUUGACAUGAUGCAAGCAGUUUUCAACAAUUAGCUAUUUUGCUUACCCUUAUAAGAAAUGCCUUCAGUCUGAGUGAUAAGGGGACCAUAUACAAAAAUGGAUGCGUGAUGAAAACUUCCCUUUUCCUCGACAGACCAGGUCAAUCAGGAAUAUUAAAGUAUUAUUGUUAUAUUGCCUUAGCUAGGUGUGAGUUCUAGAAAACUAGAUUUAUUUUUUAAUGGAGCUACAACCAUAUUACUGCUUGGGGUGUUCAAUUUAUUAUGCUAUGCUGUUACUGGUAUGAAUACACUAGCUGUAACGUUAUUUCUGCUAGCUAGAUACAGUAGCUAGUUUACUUGCUAGGUGGUAUAUUGUCAGUGUUUGUAUUCAGUGUCUAGUUUCUAGCUAGCUACUUACACACCUCAAUCAACAUGGCUCUGAUUAUUUAGAGCUUAAUGAGGAUUUAGUCGUGUGUCAGGUACACACACAGACAGUCAGACAUUCAGUUUCUUAUCCUCAAAUUGAAGUCAGAGUCAUGUAUUCUAGCUAAUAUUGUCAUUAGAUACUGUUCUGUGUUGGUUUUCUCUGUUAAUUUUUUAGGACCCUCUAACACACACCAAUCAACGUGGCUCUGAUGAUUUAGACCAUGAUGAUGCCCCUGAGAUGAUUCGUAAGCCCCUGACACACCCCAAGUAGGACCCUCUAACACACCCCAAUUAACCUGGCUCUGAUGAUUUAGACUAUGAUGAUGCCCCUGAGAUGGUAAGUGUCAGGUGCACAAACACACACACAUGCACACACACACACGUUUGUUUUUCUAUCCUUGUGGGGACUUGAGACCUAAACUUGACCCAAAACGUAACCCUAACUCUUAUCCUAACCCUAACCUGAACCAUACCCUCAUCUUAACCCUAACCAUAACCUCAAUAACCUAAAUGUUAAGGCUAAAAUGUACCUGGCCCUAAUGCCUAACGCUAAACUUAACCCGCAAUGCCUAAACCUAAUAGUAACCCCAAUUCUAACAGUAUUCCCAAUUGUACGUUUUUCCCUGAACUUAACCACUAAGUCCAAAAUCGCAAUUCCCCUCAUGGGGAUUUGCAAAUGUCCCCACGAGGUCCAAUUUGUCAGGUUUUUGUACAUGUGGGGACAUCAGGUACCCACAUGUACACAUAAAUGUGGUACACACACAGACAUUCAGUUUCUUAGCCUCACCCUUGUGAAGUCAGUGUCCUAUCAAAUAUUUUAGUUAAAUAAUUUCUGUGUUGGUUUUCUCCAUGUAUGGGCGGCAGGUUGCUAGAUUGACUGCCCAAGCGGACAAGGUAAAAAUCUGUCGUUCUGCCCCUGAACAAGCCACUGAUCCUAGGCAGCCAUUGUAAAUAAGAAUUUGGUCUUAACUGACUUGCCUGGUUAAAUAAAGGUACCCCCUGACACACCCCAAUCAACCUGGCUCUGAUGAUUUAGACUGUGAUGAUGCCCCUGAGAUGGUAAGUGUCAAGUGCACAAACACACACAACUCUCAGGCCAUAGCAAUCUGUUCUACCUUUCCAGAUGUAUUAUACGUUUCCUUCUGGCUUAAACAAAUGUCUAAAUAUACCUUGCAUCUAACUCUUUUCAGAACGAAGAAAGGAUUUACCCUGGAGCAUCAGUAACAAAGGGGCAAUGCCUUAUGGCAAUAAUGUUCUUUGUUCUGCGUCAUCACCUGACUGGAACUGCCUUGAUAGACCUACUUGCCUUGCUGAAUUUGUUUGUCCCCAACAUCUAAAUAUCUCUUCAAAAAGUUUUUGGGUAAUCCAGCCCUGACAGCUGUCUCGUUUAUUUUGUGAUGAUUGCCAAAAUUACUUAGAAAAGCAACCCAAAGACACAAAUUGCUCACAUUGUGGAACGUCCAUCAGAGAAACAAAACGUUUAUUUUUGUCAAUACCUUUUGAGGGACAUUCUGUGAGAUACACUGGAGAACCAUGGAAUAUAUAUUUUGAGGAAAACAGUGAAGGAAGAAGAAUAUGAAAUCGAGGAUGUCAUAGAUGGAUGGAAAGAUGUACCAGACAUUACUGAAAGAAAAGAGGCUACCUGCUGCUGAUUUAACAUUAACCUGGAAUUGUGAUGAGGACCUAUUGACUCAAAUGACUGUUUGGCCUCUUCAAUUUACCAUAAUUUGCCUUACAUAGAUUGGAAAGAAAAUGUGAUAGUUGCAGGACUUUGGUUUGACCCAGAAAAACCCAAAAUGGACACCUUUUAAAAAAUAUUUUAUUGAUGAAUGUUGAUCAAAACCCCUUACUUUGGGGAGAUAACAGUGGGACUCUGAAGAGGACAAAUGUCUUCUCCAUGAUUUGUUCCUCAGAUGCAAUUGCCAGGCCAAUCUUUCAUUACUGUAAUCAAUUCAAUGGUAAAUACGGAGUGACUGGUGCUUGCACCCCGGUAAAGUUGUCCCCAAAGGCAGAGGAUAUGUAAGAUCCUAACCUUACAGUCAACAACUACAAAUUCAAAGAUCACACAAUAAAUUUAAGGAUAAUGCAUUUCACGCUGCUUGCACUGACAUUCCACAAAAUGGUGUAAAGGGGUUGUCAACACUGCUUCCAUUGUUCGACAUUGUGUUUGGUUUUGUGCCUGACUACAUGCAUUCUGUUCUCCUCGGCAUAACUGUUUGAAUCCAUGGUACAUAGGUCGACAAAUUGCAGAAUUAGACUCUCGACUGCUAAAUCUCAAGCCACCAAAGGAAAUCACAAGAAUACUGCGAUCACUGCAAGAUGCAGUAGAUGGUAUAGAAUACAGUAUAUACAUAUGAGAUGAGUAAUGUAGGAUAUGUAAACAUUAUUAAAGUGGCGUUAUUUAAAGUGA